UACGUAGGUGGCAAGCGUUGUCCGGAUUUACUGGGCGUAAAGAGCGCGCAGGCGGUCGUCCAAGUCGGAUGUGAAAGCCCCCGGCUCAACUGGGGAGGGUCAUUCGAUACUGUUCGACUCGAAGGCAGGAGAGGGAAGUGGAAUUCCGGGUGUAGUGGUGAAAUGCGUAGAUAUCCGGAGGAACACCAGUGGCGAAGGCGACUUACUGGACGAUUGUUGACGCUGAGGUGCGAAAGCGUGGGGAGCAAACAGGG
rnacentral:rRNA from 1 species